rnacentral:rRNA from 1 species
UACAGAGGUCUCAAGCGUUGUUCGGAUUCAUUGGGCGUAAAGGGCGUGUAGGCGGCCAUGCAGGUCCGCUGUGAAAACUGGAGGCUUAACCUCCAGACGUCGGUGGAAACCGCAUGGCUAGAGUCCGGAAGAGGAGAGUGGAAUUCCCGGUGUAGCGGUGAAAUGCGCAGAUAUCAGGAAGAACACCAAUGGCGAAAGCAGCUCUCUGGGACGGUACUGACGCUGAGACGCGAAAGCGUGGGGAGCGAACAGG